UCAGCCUGGAGGAGCAAUGUCACCACAAGGUUGCUCAAGGGGUUUGCACACAAGUGAAAGACUGUUCUUGCAUAACAAAAGUAAAGAACUACAGAUGCUGGGGCACAACAUGAAAUGUCAGGAGCUAUCGUCUGCACCGUUGACGGGGCCUAUAACCACAUGUGCAUGAACUGGGGGAAAGGUCACCCGAGCUCAGCCGCCACUCCAGUUCUCACCCAGGGGAAACAAUGACUAAGCCACCACCAGAUUCCAUUGUUGAAAUGCGCCACUGCUCGCGUCUUAUUCUUUUUGCAGGACCUGCUGUUACAUGCCACGUAUCUGGGGGAAAAAAGCCCCUUGCAAACAUGGAGAAGUGGCAGCAGAGGUGUAAUCACGGGAGAAGGGGGCGGUUGUCACCUGGCUUGCUAUGCCCUUGUUUACAGGAGCCAGGGGACUGACAACAUGCAGCUAUUGGACCCAGAAGAGCAUGGAAAAUUUCAACAG